ACAAACUUUCCUGCUCACUAACUCAAAUACCCUUUUCCUUUGAUGUGAGAACCUAUCUUUAGGCUUUGGCUGGAGCCACAUCAAGUAAGAAUGGACUUUCUAUGGCAAUCCCUGUGGGCUCUGCCAUCCUCACAGGAUCUCUAAGCAGGAGCACCAUGAAGAGACAGAGAGGCAAAGGCUUUCCAGAGCUGUGAUAAUAAUCUUUGUUGUGCAGGAAUGGCUCUCUACAGGAUUAGACUGUAUUAUCAUUUGUAUUUCUGGUGCUUGCUGGCUUCCCUCAUCUAUCUGUAGGAAAUAAAAUUUGUCCUGAAGGAUCUGUGAGAUUCCAGUGUGCAUGCUAUGUGGGACGGAGCUGUGCCACUGAGGCAGGAGAAGAUUUGAUAAAGUGUUGCAAAACUGAAGAACUGCCUCUGCUUCAUGAGAGCACUUUCCAAGACUCCUAUACAAGAUUCCUGGCCACCAGAGAUCUGCUCUUCAAAUUAACGCCUGCUAAUGUUGGGCUUGAUUAAAGGAAGCUAAUGAAGCCAUUUGAAGGAUGCCCUCCAGCCUUCCCUCUCUGUGUCCAUGUUCCCUUGGCAGAAAUCGGGGAUUUGAAAGCUGCAAUUCAACAGCAUCAUCCUUUCAUGUUGUGGACUGCCUGGCCUAUGAAUGGGACCUGCCCCAUGCUGUGUAUUACUAGGAGCCCGCUGGAGAACAAGGGUCUCAGAAGCUCACCUCCUCUUCGCCAUCACCAGAGUCUCCGGUGCCAUCUAUGUCUCCGUCCUCGGCGCUGCUAUCCAGGGGCGCCCCACCAAAGCUGUCCAGAGCCUCUUCGGCGUCGCG